UUUCUCAACUCUUUAUGUACCAGGUGCAUAAAACGUUUGACCCUGUAACACAGCAGAUUCACAGCAAAUUUACAAUUGAGUUAAAAUUGUGGUGUUAAUGAAAAGUUUAGGAGUUCAGAGUUAAUUUAACUCAAAUGGGAGUUAAUCUAACACAAGGUUGAGUUAAAACAAUUGUAUUUCACUCUCUUUAAAUAAAGAUGUAGUGUUAAACCUACAGUGUUGAUAUGAAGAUCUAUGUACUCCCUGUUAACUCUUAAAGUGUUAAUUCAUGAGCCCCUCCCCCUUUCCACCACACCGCAUUCAGAAGCAGAGUUCAAGCCAUCAGAACUUCAAAUCUUGCUGCGAGAGCAGAUGGUUGAUACUGUUCUGAAGGCUAAUCCAAAGGAUGAAGACAGUUCAUCGCAACACAUUCUAUUCAUCUGGAUUCAUCUCAAAAAGCAGGCAAAAAAUGGUUCAUGAAGAGGAUGCUUCACUUUCUUUCCUAGAUGUGCCUGGAUUGGAAAGCAGCCAGUCACACCAUCUUUGAGCACAAGGCAGUCCCAUGCAUGGCUCAGACAUCAGUGGCAACUUUUGAUGAGCUGUUCAAAGCCCACUACAUCUUCAGUCUCUCCUACGAGGUAGCUCUUUGCACUUUUUAAAGCAGGAUGUCCCAUUUCCUUUCAUACAUACAAUGACUUCAGGAAGCACCUCAACACUGUGCAUAGACACUCCAUGGAUGAACAUGCGAACAUUAGCCAAGAUGUCGCCACGCAAUGAGAAAAUAAGGAGGACGUUUCAAGUUUUUGACCAGACUGUACAGUUUCUGUUGAAACUUUACAGGUUCCUUCUGCUAAUUAUUAUUAUUAUUAUUGUUUUCAAAAGGACUAUAAAGCAAUUGAGUUUGUUAAGUAUUUCAGAUAAGUGUAAACUGUCAUUUUCAAUGGUAAGGAAAUGUAUGUCGUUUCAAUUACCAAUUGGGCUAAAAAUUAUGGUACUGUAUUUACGUACAGCCCAUGGAACUCUCCUGGAACAUCCCAUGAUCUCCCGUUUAUUAACAAUAUAGUACUAUUGUUAAAAGCAUAGAUAUGGUAUACUGUACUUUGAUAAACACGUCAAUGCAUACUGUAUAUACAGUAGGUGCAUAAUGACAACUUUUGUUACAUGCACUGAACAGCCUAUUUUAAACCUUUUGAUAAAACUUAUUCUAAUGAGACUGAUAACUGAGCAUGCAUAGUGCCAUAUUGUUAUAUUUUGGAAAAACGACUUUUGAAUGUUUAGACUUAUUAAAUGUGGUGCACAUGUUUGAAAAAAAUAAAAUAAACCUGUUUUAUCCAA